ACUUUUAACCAAAUCUAAAGGUAAAUGAUUAGAUACUUAAAAAUUAAUGGACCUGGCGGCUGAAUUGCUUCAACAGAGGGGCUUGUAUUAUAAUAGAGAAUCCACAAAAUAUCUUACUUUAUCUAAAGUUAGUAUACCGCCGUUUGAUGGGACAGUUAUUAAUUAGUUCCUUAAAAUAGUUAAACAACUACUAUAUCAGGUAAAGGUGCUGCCAAUGUUAAAGGAUAAUGAGCCACAGUAAUAAAAAUUAUUAGACCGUAGUAAUAAAUGAAUAUUUAUUAUAAAGUAGGAUUUGUUAGUAAAUUUCUUAAAAAAGAGAUUUUGAAAUAAAAGUUACAGUGU
rnacentral:rRNA from 1 species